rnacentral:lncRNA from 1 species
UCAGUUUUUUUAAUCACUACCCUCUUGAUUCCCUGUGCUGUUAAGAAAUGACAGACCUUGCCAAGAUUGGGAAUGAAAUAGAGAAGUUCUUUGGCCUCCAGAAAAGUUGUGGCAGUAGCAGCAACCCUCCGGCGACACGAAACCUCUGCCAAUACAAGUUUUAUCCAACCUACGGGGAGACCAAGGUUAUCCACAUGAACGUGGAAGACAUCAAGUGCAAUGAAGCUGCUUCAAGAUUCAUAGCAGAGAAAAGAACAGACCUGCAGGUGAAGAGUUUGGUUGGGCAGUAGUGAACAAUUAUUGUACUUCAGAAAUCUUCUAUUAGUUUUCAUUAUGCUUUAAAAUUUUAGAAGCUUGCUCACUCUUGAAUCUUUUAGCAUAUGGGGUCAAGUACUAUAGUUCUAAACUCCUUGUACUAUUUAAUACUCACACAUAUGCAUGAAUCAGCUCGAAGACAAACAUGAUGGUCUUCUGUGGCUUCAAGAGUUCAAGUUUUAGGCCCCUUCAAGUUAUGUACAGAGCUAAUAUAUACUAUUACAAUCUAUCAAAGCAGUUUUGUUCUCACUUCUCAACUUCUCAUGAAUCAUGAUCAUACUGCCUCUGGUGUGAUUUAUGUGUAGCAGAAACAAAUUGAGAAGAAUUCACUUGAGUUAAGUUUUCUCUAAAAUUGAACAAAGGAAAGAGCUGUAAAUAAUUUGUAAUUAUUUGUAAGGUGUGACUUAAUUUGUUAUUGGAGACAGAUAGAUAAAGCGAAAAGUAUUUGUCAAAGCACAUAUAUAUAAACACCUACAUCCAUAUUCUUUUUUUUUUGUCUCCACAGAAACACAGAUCAACUACGAAUUCUUUAAUGACCUGAAUUUAAGGUACUCCAUAUGCUAGUUCAGCAUCCAAAUCCCUCUCUUCCAAACCUUUUGCCAAAUGUCUUCUUGCUAUUUCAAGAUCUACCUCUGCAGUAAAUAUCUUCUCCUUCAGUGAUUUGGUUUCCAUCUCCAGAGUUGCCAAAUUCUCCUUCAUUGUUUUCAGUUCUUGAGCUUUCUCUAUAUAACUUUUCAUACUUAAGGCAGAUCGAAUAUGGGGUUGGAGCCAUGUCAACUCAAAAUUAAAUGUCUGAAGUUUCUCCCAUAAAGCUUGGAGAUGACUACAAGCAUCCGCAUUCAUAUCUUUCACCUUCCUACUCUUAAGAAAAUGUAGAACCUGACCCAAAGCUGUGAAUGCCCAUUCUGUAAACCUGCGACUUCUCUUCUGCUGGCAGUCAAUUAGUGAGGGAUGCAAGGAGCACACUUCAUCUAAGAGUGGAAUAAAAGCUUUCUCAAUUUUCCCAAAACUCUUGAAAUCCACAACCUCACCAUCUGAUGCAACAUGUUCAAUAAUCUCAGAACAAACAGCGGGAUCUACCUGAUUCACAUGCUCAUGCUUUCUGACAGCAAUCUCAACUUCAACAAUGCAAGUAUCGUUCACAAUAAACCCACUACUAGCGUUAUUAAAUUCAACUAAAGGUAUGAAAUCAUGACAACCGUAAUCAGGCCGACUUUCACUGAACUGGUGCUCAUAUCCUAGCACAUUUAGACAAUAGUGUUCAAUUAUACAAAACAAAAACAAGAUAACUAGUUAAACGAAAUACUAACAAAUUGCAAAAAAAGGGAGAAAAGUACAAACAAUACCUUUUGUUAUCGUCUUUUGGCUAUAAACUUGAUUAAUAAGGGCCAAGUUGAAAUUUGCAAAUAUGCUCCAGUCAUUAGGAAAAAUAGAGAGAUCCCCAGCAUACAAAUAAAGUGACAAGCAGUCAUCACUAUCGUUCCCCUUUGGAUACAGAAUAACCUGCCUACAAGCAAAGUCCAAAAACAUACAAGAAGUUGCCCAAAUUAAAAUCAUUACAAAGAAUAUUAUAUGAGAUGCUUGUAUAGUAAAUCAAGAAUCCAUUCACUCACCAUAAUGGAUGGCCACCGAUGUAGAAAGUCUCAGAGCAUAGCUCUUCUUCUGAGUCGGCAAAUUUAGAGAAGUUGUUAAUCGUCCAUGUGAAUUUCUCUACCAUUUUGUCACCAGUGUGUUGAUUACUCAUUUCACCAACCUAUCAGCUUCAACAUCAAAACUGCAUAAGAAAAAAGAUUGUUGCAUGUCUCAUUUUAUAAGAGGCUAUGCUAGAUUCUUUUUACUACUUCCCAUUUCCCUAUGUUAAUUUGUGAAGUUCCCAAAAAUCGACGUGAUAAUUAUCUCUUUUCCAAAUACUACUAUCACACUUUCUAACUUCUGUGAGUCCGUUGAGCAUCCCUAUUAAUUUCCGUCUUGUCUUUUAAUAUUCCCCUCCUAUUCAAUGUGAGUCCAUGAAGAAUACUAAUGUGUAUGAGCAUGAGUAGAAUGGAUUAACAAACUUAAAAAUUGAAAUAUUAUUUAUAAAAAAAAUUCUAUUUGAUGUCCAACUAUCCUUCAAGGAAUUAUUCUCUUGUUUAUCAAUUUAAAUAAUUUUAAAGAGAAAAAAUCCAUCGCAAAUAAUCUGAUGUAGCACUAAGCACGUGUACUAUUCUACCACUUCCUUUGGUGAUUCUCUUAUAAAUAAUAAUCCAACAAAUACUAUCCCUCUUGGAGGAAAGAUGAUGUUCUUAAUAAUGCAUUGUGGACCUAUAUAUAGAUACCUUUGUACUCAGAAAGUAACAAGCAUUUCUUCAAUUUCUUAAACGCUACUCUCUUGAUUCCCUGUGCAGUAGAGAAAUGGCUGAGCUUGCAAGAUUGGAAAUGAAAUAGAGAAGUUCUUUGGCCGCCAGAAAAGUUUUGGCAAUAGCAGCAACCCUCCGGCGACACAAAACCUCUGCCAAUACAAGUUUUAUCCAACCUAGCUAUGGAGCAACCAAGGUUGUCCACAUGAACGUGGAAGACAUCAAGUGCAAUAAAGCUGCUUCAAGAGUCAAUGCAGAGAAAAGAACAGAGCUAUACAUGAAAGGUUUGGUUGGGCAGUAGUAAUCAGUGAUAUAGUUUAGAAAUCUUCACAAGUUAUAGUUUUCCUUAUAGGUCUUGAAUCUUUUAGCAUAUGGGGUUCAGUACAGUAGUACUAAUCUGCUUGUACUAUGCAAUACUUACACAUAUGCAUGAAUCAGCAAUACUGACUAUCAAGCAGUUUUGCUUUCAUGACCAUACUGGUGUGGUUUAUGUGUAGCAAAGAGCAAUUGUCAAGGUUGGGAUGUACUUUCUUGGAUGAUGGUUUAAAAAACCAACAUAAUAUUGAGGUGGAUUUUUGUUCAAGC